AGAGUUUGAUCAUGGCUCAGGACGAACGCUGGCGGCGUGCUUAAUACAUGCAAGUCGAGCGAGGUUACUGUUUUGGAUCCCUUCGGGGUGAAGAAGCUUUAACCUAGCGGCGGACGGGUGAGUAACGCGUGGGUAACCUACCCCAAAGUCCGGGAUAACAGCGGGAAACCGCUGCUAAUACCGGAUGCCUUUACCUUGGGGCAUCUUGAGGUAAAGAAAGGCAACGCUUUGGGAUGGGCCCGCGUCCCAUUAGCUAGUUGGUGAGGUAACGGCUCACCAAGGCGACGAUGGGUAGCCGGCCUGAGAGGGUGGACGGCCACACUGGGACUGAGACACGGCCCAGACUCCUACGGGAGGCAGCAGUAGGGAAUAUUGCGCAAUGGACGGAAGUCUGACGCAGCGACGCCGCGUGAGCGAUGAAGGUCUUCGGAUCGUAAAGCUCUGUCCUUGGGGAAGAAGGUCUUCGGACUUGACGGUACCCAAGAAGAAAGCCCCGGCUAACUACGUGCCAGCAGCCGCGGUAAUACGUAGGGGGCGAGCGUUGUCCGGAAUUACUGGGCGUAAAGGGUGCGUAGGCGGCCCUUUAAGUCGGAUGUGAAAGCCCGCGGCUUAACCGCGGAAUGGCAUUCGAAACUGGAGGGCUUGAGUGUCGGAGAGGGUAGUGGAAUUCCCAGUGUAGCGGUGAAAUGCGUAGAUAUUGGGAGGAACACCAGUGGCGAAGGCGACUACCUGGACGAUAACUGACGCUGAGGCACGAAAGCUAGGGGAGCAAACAGGAUUAGAUACCCUGGUAGUCCUAGCCGUAAACGAUGGGUACUAGGUGUGGGUGGUUUCGAUACCAUCCGUGCCGUAGUUAACGCAUUAAGUACCCCGCCUGGGGAGUACGUGCGCAAGCAUGAAACUCAAAUGAAUUGACGG
rnacentral:rRNA from 1 species